AUGGGGCUUGGGGCACUGGGAGCUCUGAGAUGUGCAAAGUGGCCAUUUUCAUCCGAUGGGGCUGUGCACGGAGGGGGCCUUCUAAGGCAUGGAGAGCUCUCUGUGGCAGAUGGAUCUCCAGAGUCUGUGAGCAGAGUGGAACAGCUGGCUACUCCCUGGGCCCAGGGUCAGGGCCCUGUCAGCCCACAAGGUGGCUGGGAUCAGUGGGGGACUCCUAUCCAGGUCGAAGCCCUCCCAGCCAGCCAUCUGCAGACACAGGGCAAAUAG
rnacentral:lncRNA from 1 species